GGAUAAUAUUGCUGAGGCUUUUUUUUCUUGACCUUGAAUGAUGUAGCCCGGAUUUCUGAUAGGUCUUCCAGGGUGUUUCGAGUUUACAAAUUCAGUCAAUAAACAAUCGUGAUCUUCGAAUGUCAUUUUCUCAAUAUAAUUCUCAUCAAUUAGUUUUUGUUUAUCACAAAAAUACUCAGCACAAGCUACAUGACUACUAUUUAGUAAUCAUGAUGAGAAGUAUUCAU